GAUGAACGCUGGCGGCGUGCCUAAUACAUGCAAGUCGAGCGAACAGACGAGGAGCUUGCUCCUCUGACGUUAGCGGCGGACGGGUGAGUAACACGUGGAUAACCUACCUAUAAGACUGGGAUAACUUCGGGAAACCGGAGCUAAUACCGGAUAAUAUAUUGAACCGCAUGGUUCAAUAGUGAAAGACGGUUUUGCUGUCACUUAUAGAUGGAUCCGCGCCGCAUUAGCUAGUUGGUAAGGUAACGGCUUACCAAGGCAACGAUGCGUAGCCGACCUGAGAGGGUGAUCGGCCACACUGGAACUGAGACACGGUCCAGACUCCUACGGGAGGCAGCAGUAGGGAAUCUUACGCACUGGGCGAACGCCUGCCGGCGCCCCGCCGCGUGAGUGAUGAAGGUCUUCGGAUCGUAAAACUCUGUUAUUAGGGAAGAACAAAUGUGUAAGUAACUAUGCCCGUCUUGACGGUACCUACUCAGAAAGCCACGGCUCACUACGUG
rnacentral:rRNA from 1 species